AGUGAACGCUGGCGGUAGGCCUAACACAUGCAAGUCGAACGGCAGCACAGGAGAGCUUGCUCUCUGGGUGGCGAGUGGCGGACGGGUGAGGAAUACAUCGGAAUCUACCUUUUCGUGGGGGAUAACGUAGGGAAACUUACGCUAAUACCGCAUACGACCUACGGGUGAAAGUGGGGGACCACAAGGCCUCACGCGGUUAGAUGAGCCGAUGUCCGAUUAGCUAGUUGGCGGGGUAAUGGCCCACCAAGGCGACGAUCGGUAGCUGGUCUGAGAGGAUGAUCAGCCACACUGGAACUGAGUCACGGUCCAGACUCCUACGGGAGGCAGCAGUGGGGAAUAUUGGACAAUGGGCGCAAGCCUGAUCCAGCCAUACCGCGUGGGUGAAGAAGGCCUUCGGGUUGUAAAGCCCUUUUGUUGGGAAAGAAAUCCUGUCGAUUAAUACUCGGUGGGGAUGACGGUACCCAAAGAAUAAGCACCGGCUAACUUCGUGCCAGCCGCCGCAGUAAUAC
rnacentral:rRNA from 1 species